GCCGGGCAUAGUGGCGCACACCUGUAAUCCCAGAGCCUCGGGAGGCUGAGGCAGGAGGAUCUGAGUUCAAAGCCAGCCUCAGCAAAAGAGAGGCACUAAGCAACUCAGUGAAACCCUGUCUCUA
rnacentral:sRNA from 1 species